rnacentral:rRNA from 1 species
UACGUAGGGGGCGAGCGUUGUCCGGAUUUAUUGGGCGUAAAGAGCUCGUAGGCGGUUUGGCAAGUCGGGUGUGAAAACUCCGGGCUCAACUCGGAGACGCCACUCGAUACUGCCAUGACUCGAGUCCGGUAGGGGAGUGCGGAAUUCCUGGUGUAGCGGUGAAAUGCGCAGAUAUCAGGAAGAACACCGAUGGCGAAAGCAGCUCUCUGGGACGGUACUGACGCUGAGGCGCGAAAGCGUGGGGAGCGAACAGG